UUCACCUCUUCCCUUCCCGAACAGAGAAGUUAAGCCCCUCAUGGCCGAUGGUACUGCAAAGCAAUGCGGGAGAGUAGGUAGCUGCCAUAU
rnacentral:rRNA from 1 species